GUACAAAUAGUCAGUCCUGCCACUUCCACUUUGCCAGAUGUUACCGCUCUGUCUCCUGUUCCACAUCUCACCACCCAACUACCUUGCUCUGGAUUUUACUCACAACCACUAUCUUGGAUUCCCCUCAGGACCUGUUUACCCUGUUCUAUUCAGUUAACUCCAACCUCAGUCUCCACAUCUGUUUUUUCUGCAACUUAUCCAAGCUUCCCUGGAUCUGCACUCCAUAUCUCCCUGUAUAACAAAUAUUUUGGCUCAUUUAUCCCUGUUUCCUUAUCUGAGGCUCUUGGGUUCCCCUGUGUCACUCCGCUUAACAAAUAUCUGUACAUUAUUGGAACACCUGUAAUUACAAAAGUACAAUGAUUCAUGCUUUGCUUUAGCUUGAGAUUAAGAAUCAGUGGUAGACAUUUUGUAAGUGCACGAAGAGCUCAAUUGUACAAAAGCCAUACAAAUGCCUGUUUGAAACUUUCAGUUUCUGUUGAUACUAUGUUCCAGUCUUACUUCUGAUAGCAAAAGGAGGAAGAAGGAUUGGGAAACUAACUGCAAAUAACAAACUGAACUCCACCUAGCAGAAACAUCUUUGUGUUAGCAGCUAUUAAUUAUGAGCUUAUAUGGUAUUCAUGUUAAGGGGCAUCACCCUGGGCAGGGUGAACCUUAGUAGCAUAGAGUUAAACAAGAACAAAACAAGCAAGUUUUAAUAAGAGUUAAAGUUGAAUCAACUCUGGAAAUGUAACACUUGGUGAAGAGUUAAUUUUACACUGUGUGGAGUGGGACCAUGUUAUCUCAGGCAGUGUUACAUGUGUGUCGUUCCACGAAAUGAGUGCCUUUUGUGUCUCUUAUUUUAAGUAGAAAUUGUGCACCAAUAUUGAAUUUUAUAAGACUUAUAUUCAAUGAAGUGCCCUUUAAUAUAAACCACAUGGGAAAUUAAAUAAAUCCCUCUGUGACUUCCAGGAAGAUUUUAACCCACUUAACCCCAACAUUUCUCCAAGUUGUCCCCAUCAUUGUAAAGUUAUUUUGUUCCUUUGACAAAGCCAUUUCUGAAGAUUAUUAUUGUUCAAGAUAGCAUGCCCAGGUCGCCGCAGGUCUGUGGAGAUCUUCACAAUUGCUGUAAUAACUUGAGCAGAAUCUCGAACGGCAUUGAUCUCUUGCACCAUGUACUUUCAAUGUAAUCUCAAUUGCAAUCCAGGACAUUUGGUGAUGCUAUUAGAUGAAGCAGAGGUACAACACAUUCAUCUCGUGAAUAAAUAAAUACAAUAUCUCACAUUGCAUUCCAA